rfam:Selaginella moellendorffii unplaced genomic scaffold SELMOscaffold_266, whole genome shotgun sequence.
GCCGCCCUAGCUCAGUCGGCAGAGCGCAAGGCUCUUAACCUUGUGGCCGAGGGUUCGAGCCCCUCGGGCGGCG